GUUAGUAAUAUCGAAAAUAUUCAACCACACAAAGUGCAAUGGAAGAAAAGGUCGGAAGAGCUGCAGUCCCGAAUCAAUGAGCUGGAGGAGGAGAAUGCUUUGCUCAAGCAGCAGCUUGAGCAAAGGCCUUCAGCAAAUCAAGGUGAGAAAAUGGACAACACUGCCACCGACCCAGAGUCAGACACUGACUCGAGUUCCAACUCCAGCACUGACUCCACCGAUUCCAGGAGCAGUGAUACAAGCUCUUCCUCCUCUGAUGGCCGCAAGAAAAAGAGGAAGCACAAAAAGAAAAACAAAAAGAAGAGCAAAAAGGCUUCAUAGAACAAAGGACUUCGAGUGACAACAAUAUCGGAUGUUGUUAAAAGG
ensembl:lncRNA